GACGAACGCUGGCGGCGCGCUUAACACAUGCAAGUCGAACGGAAAGGCCUGCUUUCCCUUGUGGAUUGCGGGUACUCGAGUGUCGAACGGGUGAGUAACACGUGAGUGAUCUGCCCCCAACUUGGGUAUAAGCCUGGGAAACUGGGUCUAAUUCCCGAUAGGACUGCAGGGUGGUGCCUGUGGGUGAAAACGAUUUUCUAGUGGUUGGGGAUGAGCUCGCGGCCUAUCAGCUUGUUGGUGGGGUAAUGGCCUACCAAGGCGGCGACGGGUAGCCGGCCUGAGAGAGCGGGCCGGCAAGGUGGGCCUGCGAUACGGGCAAGACUACUAGGGGCGGAAGCAGUGGGGAAGAAUGAGUGAUGAGCGGAAGACUGAGGCAGCAAGGCUGAGUCGGGGAUGCCGGGCUUCGGGUUGUAAACUCCUUUCGACAGCGAGGAAGCAACCUGGAUGGAAGGGUGGUGACGGUAGUGGUAGAAGAAGCACCGGCUAACUACGUG
rnacentral:rRNA from 1 species